UCCUACGGGAGGCAGCAGUGGGGAAUAUUGGGCAAUGGGCGAAAGCCUGACCCAGCGACGCCGCGUGCGGGAUGAAGGCCUUCGGGUUGUAAACCGCUUUCAGCAGGGAAGAAGCGAAAGUGACGGUACCUGAAGAAGAAGCACCGGCUAACUAUGUGCCAGCAGCCGCGGUAAUACAUAGGGUGCAAGCGUUGUCCGGAAUUAUUGGGCGUAAAGAGCUCGUAGGUGGUUCGUUACGUCGGAUGUGAAAACCUGAGGCUCAACCUCAGGCCUGCAUUCGAUACGGGCGAACUUGAGUGUGGUAGGGGAGGCUGGAAUUCCUGGUGUAGCGGUGGAAUGCGCAGACAUCAGGAGGAACACCAAUGGCGAAGGCAGGCCUCUGGGCCACUACUGACACUGAGGAGCGAAAGCGUGGGGAGCAAACAGGAUUAGAUACCCUGGUAGUCCACGCUGUAAACGGUGGGCACUAGUUGUGGGAACCUUCCACGGUUUCUGCGACGUAGCAAACGCAUUAAGUGCCCCGCCUGGGGAGUACGAUCGCAAGAUUAAAACUCAAAUGAAUUGACGGA
rnacentral:rRNA from 1 species